UUAUUACGCAUACCAAGUUCAUGCCAAAUGAAGAAAGAUCACUGAUUUCUGCGAAUUCAAUACAUAAUUCAUAUCGAAACCAAAGUGAUAUCUCCCGGAUUCAUUAUUAAUGAACUACCCAAAUAGUUCUUGUACUGCUCAUUUUAAUAGUAACAACACAAACUGACUUGUUGACAAAUAAAAUAUAUCUGUAGGAAUGGAAGUCAGUGAAGAUUAAGCUGUUGUGUUGUUAUAGAGAUGCAUGAUAAUUGUGGAAUGUUUUUUCCUUUUUUGGGAUGAAUCAUGGAUGUUUUCUAUCAUGUAGCAUGAGAAUGAAAGUAACCACUAUUUUUAGGCUGAAACUGCAAAUUUUGAGAAGUGAGCAUUGAAGUUAAAUUACAGUUUUGGUAUGGUGCAUCAGCUGUCGAUAGUGGACGUGCAAGCAUGAGAAGAACUGUUGUUCCUUUGAUUGAAAUAGGCAAAAGGCUUGUCUUUUUGGCUGAGUGGGACUACCCAGCCAAGCCAUAUGUUUUCUUGCUCUGUUUCCUCUACGUAGUUCACAGAGGCUUGAUAUGGUACUUUUUCCCUGGCUUUCUUGCUGGCUCCACCAUUUUCAUGCUAUGGACCAAGCACCAUUUUCACUGUCGAGCAGCUCCUUGCUCUGCAGGAAGCCAUCUCGCAGCUUGAGAGGUGAUCGUUGCUGUGAUGAAUGAGUCAUGUUCAUGUUGUUGUGAUGAAGCCUCCCUGUGUGGCUUCCCCUGCGCUUUCGCGGCUGUUCCAUCUCCGACUCCAGUGCAGGU